UGAAUGCCCGUUUGCGUCUUUGAUCUA
rnacentral:piRNA from 1 species